AGGAUCUGAAAUGUGCGGUUCGCGGUAAACACAAAUUCUUUGCUGGUGUGGUGUUAAGGCUAGGCUAGGCCUACGUUGUCUACAUUUUUGGUAAUGUUAUGGCCCUUUCAACUCAGGAAAGCGAAGAGGACAGCCAAUACAUUUUGAUUGCCACGAUAGACAAUGCAAAAAACAUAUCAAAUGUGCUAAAGGCAAUAUUAUCUAAGGAUAAGGAGUUGGCAACCAUAUUUGCAACUGAGAAUGGUCUAAAAGUGACAGUGGAGGAUUCCAAGUGUGUACAGGCUAAUGCUUUCCUGCAGGCAGCCAUCUUCCAAAGCUAUGUUAUCAGGGAGGAUUCUGUUACAUUCAAAAUUAGUCUAUCUGUUUUACAGGAGUGUUUGACAAUAUUUGGUGGCGGUUCAUCUCAAGGUGGUAACCCAGCUCUUAAGAUCUGUUAUGCUGGCUACGGAAGUCCACUUCUACUCAUGUUAGAAGAAAAUGGUGUUUUGACGGAUUGUAGUAUUAAGACAUUAGAGCCGGAUGAGACGUUGGAUUUCAAUUUUACAAGUGCAAAUGUUAUCAACAAAAUCAUAAUGAAGUCAGAUUGUUUAAAAGAAGCUUUCCAAGAACUCGACAUGACUAGUGAAGUAUUGGAAAUUCUAAUGUCCCCUGACAAGCCUCACUUUCGAAUGAGCACCUACGGCUUAGCAGGAAGUGCCUUUUCUGAUUUCCCAAGGGAGAGUGAUCUGGUUGAAUCUUUCCAGUGCACUCAAACUCAGAGUAAUAGGUACAAGUUGUCAUUACUGAAGCCGUCUGUAAAAGCACUGAUGGUGUCUUGUAAAGUGUCUAUUCGAACCGACCACCGUGGCUUUCUGUCCCUUCAAUACAUGAUCCGAAAUGAAGAUGGACAAAUCUCAUUUGUUGAAUACUACUGUGCUCCUGAUGAAGAAAGUGCUGAAAAUGACUGAGAUCCAUACAGACAACUGUGGGAAAUGCAUUCUGUAGAGGUACGCCAAGCCGACUCACCCCCAGGCUCUUUACAAGCAGAUAUGAAGCAAGAUAUCAGAACAUCCUGCAUGGCCGUCGAGCGAUGCUUCGUCUUUGCCUUGGUUCUGACCCCUUUGUCGGACUUGUUGGCAAAUUUCUGGUGCCACCGUUGAUUGCUUUAUAAACAAGCCUCAUGAGGCGUUGAAAGUGAAAUUUUUUUGUUUGUGAGAAAAAUUCUGGCGUCCAAGAGGAAUUAAACCCAAACUCCCUGGUAUUGGAAGACAAGUAUCUGAACCAUCAAGAUACAAUGAUUGACUUUGAACUGACCGAUGAAAAAAUUAUGAUAAAAGAGCUAGUCACAUUAGUACAUGGUGGAGUAGUCAAUGACCUGUGGUCAAAUAUUUUAACGGGUGCCAUGUUCUGUAAAAUGUUGUUGACUAGGAUAUGGCACAUUUGAUUAAGGGUACAAAAGGUUAUUAUAUCACUUUAACCUCUUGUUAUUGUCAGAGAUCUUUUUUUUUUUAUUCUACAUUUCUCCGCAUUUCUCGUUUAUGUUAGCUGUUAUUAUGUUAUGUUUGCUAAGUUUAUGUCAGCUUCAACGAACAUUUGGCUUGGUCCGGAAUAGUCGCAAUAAGCUUUUCAAUGUGCUUUUUACAUUAUUGAUCAUAUCAUCAUAACCAACUGUCAUUUCUCAAUCAUAUUAAGUGUGCAUAAACUUCAGGUCAAGGUAGAAUAUCACGAACCAAAAUCAGUGGUGUAACGCCUAUGCGCUCUCAUGCGGCAGUCCGCAGGGCUCCCGAAUUCUACGGGGGCCCUACCCAAUAGGUUCCUCGAUCUAGCACCCUGACCAAAAAGGACUUUGUUGAUAAAAAAAAAACCAUAAAUACUCUGAAAUCGACUGUAGUGCAUAUAUCAUAUUAUAAUGAUUAAAGAGAAGGGGCCC